UACAGAGGGUGCAAGCGUUGCUCGGAAUCAUUGGGCGUAAAGGGUAGGUAGGUGGUCUCAUUUGUCUGGGGUGAAAGCCCAGGGCUUAACCCUGGAAGUGCCCCGGAAACGGUGAGACUGGAGUCUUGGAGAGGGUCGUGGAAUUCCCGGUGUAGCGGUGAAAUGCGUAGAGAUCGGGAGGAACACCAGAGGCGAAGGCGGCGACCUGGACAAGCACUGACACUCAACUACGAAAGCGUGGGGAGCAAAC
rnacentral:rRNA from 1 species